UAGGAUUUGGGAAAAUUCAGAAGUAAGGAAUUCAUUACACUUGCCCGAAAAGUUAGAAACCACAGGUAGGCCAAGAAAAAUAAGACAAUACAAAAACUUCCCCUUCCAGUGACAUUUUGACAUACCUCCUCCCCAGUUCUCGCACACAGAUCUAAAAAUAUUUGUGAUCCUGACAAUAUAACAAACACUCCAUUACUACGCUAGGCAUUCCACCAAGCAAUGCAAAUGGACUGUUAUAUUUGAUUCAUGCAAAAAAAAAAAAAAUUCAUGCUCCCAUGUUCCCAUUUCACAGAAGAAGAAAAAAGGCUCAGAGUGGACUAGUGAUGUGGCUGUUCCUCUGUCCCAAAAGCUGUAAGCAACGGAGCUGGGGUUCAGACCCAGGCACUCUGAUUCCAGUGCAAGAGGCAACACAACCACUUAGGACACACACAGUAAGGAUAAAUUCUGAGCCAUCUGUUGAAGAAGCUUCAUCUAUCACAGCUAUUAUGCCAACUGGAACUGGUGUUCUACUUCUCAGUCUGGGUAAGCAUGGAUGCUUUUAUAAGAAAAACCACAGAAGCUAUUUUUAAUGAAAAAAGGCAACAUUUGCAGUAAUCAUCUUCACAAUUUCCCAAAGGUAAUGAAUAUAUUUCUGAACAGAUGACCAAGAGAACAAAUCAAUAUGGCACAAAGGAAGAAUGUACUCUCUCUCAAGAUUGUGUAUACAGUAUUCUCUUGCUCUCUCUCAAAAAAAAAAAAAAAAUGAUACACACACAUGUGGCUGCACUUUUAUUAAAUGAAGCAAAAAAAAAGACUGGUACGUUAGAGAGUCAGCUGGGACUUCACUGUUGCAUUGUUAAAAUAUACAGACUCCUUCUUUACUGGGCAGUCAUGGAAACAGACAAGUUUUUAAUGUAUUUUAAGCAAUUUUAUAUAAGACAAGCAUGAAGCGUAACAAUGCCAUAACCCACUGGCUUCUGCAUUCAUUGUUUAAAAAACAAGACUGUAACAUUCCAGCUAAAAAAAAUGUGCUAAUCAUAGAGAAGACAGCCAGAGCCCUGGGGCUGGAUGGAAAAGUGAAGGUAUGCGCUAUGGAGGGGAGUUCAUGUGUUUCAUGCGUUCACAACAAAACCAAAGCAUCAUAAUGUUCCUUAAACUGAGCUCCUGAGAUACACCUCAAUUCCAAAUUGCUGCCUUCACACAAAAACAACUUUGUAAGAGAAGGUGCUUCUCUGGGACCGGGUUUCUUCAAAUGGGGACAGAUUCCUGCCACUCACCUCCCCCUACUCGAGGUCAUGAAGAUUAAUGAUAAUGAUGUUUUUUACAGACUGUGAAGAAUUCCUUUGAGAAGAAUUAUGCGAGAUCCAUUAGGGCGCUAAAUUCCAAGGACAACUCCAUGGCUGUUGAGGAUGUUUUCAAGGACAAGCGGUAGAUAAAAAAAAAAAUACUAACAACGAAGUCAGAUGCAGUUCUACUGUGUUCUAUUGUCUUUCCUUCCACUUAAUCAUAUCGUAGAACAGGCAAUAAUUAUCUGUUAGGCGACAGCAAAGGAAGGCCCAGUGGACAAGCAAUGCUGAUGUGCUGAAGAGGCCAUGACUUAGCAGAGGAGUUAAUCAUACUUUCCUUUAAUAAACAGCUUCGAGCUCCCCCCACACCCUGCCCACUCACUGCUUUUCUGUGUUUUGUUUAUUUCUUUCCAUCAAGACAAAUGAGCAGCUUGGAAAUCUGCUUGGGUCUAAAAGAUUCCUACCCAGAGUAGCAAGGGUAGUGGUUCAUGAUUUCCUUCUGCUGUUUCAGCCUGCCUGGCAUGCAUUUCCCAUUGCUGGUAUCAGCAAGUAGGAUUUGUUUUGGGGGGAAGCAAACCUCCCUUUCAGACCAUGAGGUUUGUGGAGGAGCUGGAUCCACCCCACCCUGACGUCCAGGGGUGGGCACACUCCUACUCAGGAGACAUAUUUCAUUCCGUGGCCACAGUCUAUUGAUGGACAAGUGGCCCAAGGUGGUCCACUGAGAGCCCUGAGACUCUGGCUGGCACAUCUAAGGUACUCUAUCCACUGGGGUUAAGUUAGGAGGAUGGAAGCCAGGAGCAGCUGAGUAAGCCACAGAAGGAAGUCAACCCAGAGAAAGGAGAGCUGAGUGAUGAAGGAGAGGACAAUUCUUGACAACAUUCUGAAGACCCUGGAUCUAGCCAUGCUUACACUACCCCUAGAUUCUUCAGACACAUGAACCAAUAAACCCUCCUUUUUGCUUAAAAUAGUAUGAACUGGGUUUUGCUGCGUGUGACUGAAAGGAUCCUUAGUAAUGCCCAGACUGUCUCUCAUUCUUUUACUUCAAAAGACUUAGUAAGUACGCAGCCUGGGGAACUGAUGCAAAGUCUGGGUUGACCAAAAAAUUAUUUCCACAGAUAGACUGCAUUUUAUCACCAGUCUUCCUGGGAUGAAUUCAUUAUCACCAAAUUUUAAAAUUGCCAUGUGCAAUUUUAUA